rnacentral:rRNA from 1 species
GCCCUUCGGGGUACACGAGUGGCGAACGGGUGAGUAACACGUGGGUAAUCUGCCCUGCACUUCGGGAUAAGCCUGGGAAACUGGGUCUAAUACCGGAUAUUCAGCUUCUGCCGCAUGGUGGUUGUUGGAAAGUUUUUCGGUGCAGGAUGUGCCCGCGGCCUAUCAGCUUGUUGGUGGGGUAAUGGCCUACCAAGGCGACGACGGGUAGCCGGCCUGAGAGGGUGAUCGGCCACAUUGGGACUGAGACACGGCCCAGACUCCUACGGGAGGCAGCAGUGGGGAAUAUUGCACAAUGGGCGCAAGCCUGAUGCAGCGACGCCGCGUGAGGGAUGACGGUCUUCGGAUUGUAAACCUCUUUCGGCAGGGACGAAGCGAAAGUGACGGUACCUGCAGAAGAAGCACCGGCCAACUACGUGCCAGCAGCCGCGGUAAUACGUAGGGUGCGAGCGUUGUCCGGAAUUACUGGGCGUAAAGAGCUCGUAGGCGGUUUGUCGCGUCGUCUGUGAAAUCCUACAGCUUAACUGUGGGCGUGCAGGCGAUACGGGCAGACUUGAGUACUACAGGGGAGACUGGAAUUCCUGGUGUAGCGGUGGAAUGCGCAGAUAUCAGGAGGAACACCGGUGGCGAAGGCGGGUCUCUGGGUAGUAACUGACGCUGAGGAGCGAAAGCAUGGGUAGCGAACAGGAUUAGAUACCCUGGUAGUCCAUGCCGUAAACGGUGGGCGCUAGGUGUGGGUUCCCUCCACGGGACCCGUGCCGCAGCU